GACGAACGCUGGCGGCGUGCUUAACACAUGCAAGUCGAACGAAGUGGCGAACGGGUGAGUAACGCGUAAUCAACCUGCCCUUCAGAGGGGGACAACAGUUGGAAACGACUGCUAAUACCGCAUACUGAAGGAGGGGAUUGCGUUUGAUUAGGUCGUUGGAGGGGUACCGGCCCACCAAGGCGAUGAUCAGUAGCCGGGCUGGGUGGAUGAGCGGCGACAUUGGGACUGAGACACGGCCCCGACUCCUACGGGUGGCAGCAGUGGGGGAUCGUCCGAAAUGGACGAAAGUCUGACGGAGCAACGCCGAGUGAGUGAUGACGGCCUUCGGGUUGUAAAGCUCUGUUAAUCGGGACGCGGUACCGGAAUAGAAAGCCACGGCUAACUACGUGCCAGCAGCCGCGGUAAUAC
rnacentral:rRNA from 1 species